AUACGGAGGAUCCGAGCGUUAUCCGGAUUUAUUGGGUUUAAAGGGAGCGUAGGCGGGAGAUCAAGUCAGCUGUGAAAUGUAGAUGCUCAACAUCUGCACUGCAGUUGAAACUGGUUUUCUUGAGUGCGUAAGGGGCAGGCGGAAUUCGUCGUGUAGCGGGGAAAUGCUUAGAUAUGACGAAAAACUCCGAUCGCGAAGGCAGCCUGCCGGGCCGCGACUGACGCUGAAGCUCGAAGGUGCGGGUAUCGAACAGGAUUAGAUACCCUGGUAGUCUGCACAGUAAACGAUGGAUACUCGCUGUCGGCGAUAUACGGUCGGUGGCCAAGCGAAAGCGUUAAGUAUCCCACCUGGGGAGUACGCCGGCAACGGUGAAACUCAAAUGAAUUGGCGGGG
rnacentral:rRNA from 1 species